GCUUGGAUAGCUCAUUUGGUUAGAGCACGAUGCUGAUAACACCAAGGUUGCAGGUUCGAUCUCUGUAUGGGACA